rnacentral:rRNA from 1 species
UACGGGGGGGGCAAGCGUUGUUCGGAAUUACUGGGCGUAAAGCGCGGGCAGGCGGUCGGUCAAGUCUGAUGUGAAAUCUCUCCGCUCAACGGGGAGCAGCCAUUGGAAACUGGUCGACUGGAGUCUGGCAGAGGUAGGCGGAAUUCCGGGUGGAGUGGUGAAAUGCGUAGAGAUCCGGAGGAACACCAGAGGCGAAGGCGGCCUACUGGGCCAGUACUGACGCUGAGCCGCGAAAUCCAGGUGAGCUAACUGG